AAUCAGGAUACAAAUAAUUUUAUUGAAUUUAUCAUUUCCAACACAUCAGCUUUUGCUCUAAGUGCAAAAUUUAAGAUAAAUAGUUCAAGUAUUAUGAUAAUUUUCUCUGUCACUUGAAAAACAACAUCCAAAUUAGUAAAAUCAAUGACAGUUUCUUCAGAGUCAAAAUGUUUCAGAAAGGCAGGGCUCCCAGAUGAGCCUAUCUGGAAGGAGAGAGUCCCUUCGCACAUGGAUACCAUGAAUGUAAACUAAAUUUGGAUUAGUCUACUAUGGCUACGUUUCUAAAAAACUAUCACACGAAGUGUGAUUUUUUAUGCCACUAAACUUCCUUUUCUCCUUUUUCUCUCCUUUCUUAUUGUCUGGGGUUCCUAGGGGCUGACUUUGGCAAAGAGUAAGUCAAGACUGGGGUGUAAACUGGAAAAAUUAUCCCAGAGAAUGUCCUCUGAGAAGUCAUCCCAAUGCUGGCUUUGUUUGCCUCCUUUCUCCCAGAGAUAGAGCACUGCCCCCAGGUACUAAUGGGAACCUGGGGUUUGAAGACCUCCCUGGAUCUACAGCAUCUCUCUGAAAGCUUUUACAGAAUAUACUAUGGAGACCUCAAUUAUUGUCUUAUGUGUAAUUUUGGAGUAAGGAGAUGGCAGAGAAUUUGGAAGACAAGCAUUCCCAAGACUAAGACUUUCCAUGUUAUUUCCAAAACAAGCUAUCACAACUGUUAUACCUCCAAACACAUAAGUUUUAUAAACCCUGGACUCUUGGGAAUCCACUAAUAAAAUACUUGAUAUUCUGCAAAGCCACUGAAUUUGUUCAGCACCCAUUUAUUUAUCCAACAAAUACUUCCUGAGCGUGAUUCUAGCACUGCGUGUGCUCUGAAAACAAAUGAAAAAAAGUAUAAGACAUUGUCCCUAACCUCAAAGACAUGGCAGUGCGGUUGGGGAGACAAGAUUUACAAACGGAAAGGAAAGCUAAUAAUAGAACACAGCUUAAGAUGAAACAACAAAGAUAAAAAUAAAUAAAUUGCCAAAAGAUAGAUAAGUGCCAAAUGAAACAAUAAAAGUGACCUGGAGUUUCAGAAGGAAUACAUCACUGGUGGCCAAAAGCGUCAGAAGAGACUCCCUGGCAAGGUAGGAAGGACUUGAGCAUUGGAACACACAAGGAGGACAAGGGCGAGGCUAUGAGUGGGGAAGCUUUAUUGCACACGGACUCUGGCUCUGACAUGGCCACCGGGUCUGCUGGUGCCCCAGUCAAACAAACCACUCUCAGAGUAACUUGACUGCAUAUGCAGAAUGACCAGUGACUUCUGUCCAGAAGGC
rnacentral:lncRNA from 1 species